CAAUGACCUUUCCUUCCAUGCUCUUCAUUCUCUGAAGUGAAGACAAACAGUUCUUGUAAUUUAGCUGCUAGUGUUUUACUUUUGGCCUUGAACAUAACAAGUAAUGUCUGUAACUUAACUAGCUCCUGUCAUUUCAAUAAUCCAGAAUUAAUAAAUAAUAUAUUAGUGUGUUCCUGAUAAUCUGCUUUAUGGAUAAUUCUGAUAGCUCUCUUCUGUAGGAGAUACAACGGCUUUAAUAUAAUUGAAUUAG